rnacentral:rRNA from 1 species
GAAAGUAAAUAAGGGCGUAUGGGGAAUGCCUAGGCUCUUGGAGGCGAAGAAAGACGUGGUAAGCUGCGAAAAGCUCCGGGGAUUUGCAAACAAGAUUUGAUCCGGAGAUUUCUGAAUGGGACAACCCGUCAGGUAGAAGACCUGACACAUCGUAAGAUGGGCCAACCCUCUGAACUGAAACAUCUUAGUAGGAGGAGGAAAAGAAAGAAACAUCGAUUUCCUGAGUAGCGGCGAGCGAAAGGGAAAAAGCCUAAACCGGUAUUGUUACGGCAAUGCCGGGGUUGUAGGACUGCAAUAUUCAAGUAACAAUGAACUGGAACGAUCUGGAAAGUUCGUCCAUAGAGGGUGAAAGGCCCGUACAGGUAAGUUCGUUAUGCGAUAGCAGUAUCCUGAGUAGGGCGGGACACGAGGAAUCCUGUCUGAAUCUGCCGGGACCACCCGGUAAGGCUAAAUACUCCCAAGAGACCGAUAGUGAACCAGUACCGUGAGGGAAAGGUGAAAAGAACCCCGAACAGGGGAGUGAAAUAGAACCUGAAACCAUACGCUUACAACCGGUCGGAGCAGUUUCGUGCUGUGACGGCGUGCCUAUUGAAUAAUGAGCCUACGAGUUACUAAUCACUGGCGAGGUUAAGUGCACGGAUGCACGGAGCCGAAGCGAAAGCGAGUCUGAACAGGGCGGCUAGUCAGUGGUUGUAGACGCGAAACCUUGCGAUCUACCCUUGAGCAGGUUGAAGGUUGGGUAAAACCAACUGGAGGACCGAACGAAUAAGCGUUGAAAAGCUUCUCGAUGACUUGAGGGUAGGGGUGAAAGGCUAAUCAAGCUGGGAAAUAGCUCGUACUCCCCGAAAUGCCUUUAGGGGCAGCGUUGUAAUUAAGAGUCUACUGGAGGUAGAGCUACUGAUUGGAUGCGGGGGCUUCACCGCCUACCAAAUCCUGACAAACUCCGAAUGCCAGUAGUAUGAUUUACAGCAGUGAGCGACCGGGUGCUAAUGUCCGGUUACGAGAGUGGAACAACACAGACCAGCAACUAAGGUCCCGAAGAGUAUACUAAGUUGAUCUAACGAUGUUUUGCUGCAGAGACAGCUAGGAUGUUAGCUUGGAAGCAGCUAUUCAUUCAAAGAGUGCGUAACAGCUCACUAGUCGAGCGGCAAAGCGUGGAUAAUAAACGGGCAUCAAGUAUACCACCGAAGUUCUGGGCACGAAAGUGCGGUAGGGGAGCAUUCCAUUGACGUCGAAGCCAUUCCGCGAGGAUAGGUGGAGUUUAUGGAAAAGCAAAUGUAGGCAUGAGUAACGAUAAUGCGGGAGAGUAACCCGCACACCGCAAGACCAAGGUUUCCUGAUCAACGCUAAUCGGAUCAGGGUUAGUCGGGUCCUAAGGGUAAGCCGAACGGUGAUCUCGAUGGACAAUCGGUUAAUAUUCCGAUACUAACAUAUACCUCGAUGGAGAGACGAAGGAACGUAAGUGACGCCGCCUGACGGAAUAGGUGGUUAAAGGGUGUAGGUAUAGGGACAGAUUAAGAGUUAGUCCUUGCUGAAACCCGACAGUACGGAGCGGCUACGGCCAAUCUGAUAGUUCACCCAAGUCGACUUCCGAGAAAAUCUUCUAAGUUAUAGUAUAUGUUACCCGUACCGUAAACCGACACAGGUGGUCGAGGAGAGUAUCCUAAGGUGCUCGAGUGAAUCACGGUUAAGGAACUAGGCAAAUUAACCCCGUAACUUCGGGAAAAGGGGUCCCUACGCGAGUAGGGCGCAGCGAAGAGGUCCAGGCGACUGUUUAUCAAAAACACAGGGCUCUGCAAAUUCGAAAGAAGACGUAUAGGGCCUGACACCUGCCCGGUGCUGGAAGGUUAAGAGGGGAUGUCAUCGCAAGAGAAGCAUUGAAUCGAAGCCCCAGUAAACGGCGGCCGUAACUAUAACGGUCCUAAGGUAGCGAAAUUCCUUGUCGGGUAAGUUCCGACCUG